UCAAGCUGUAAAGGGCGCAAGGGGAAUGCCUUGGCACUGAGAGCCGAUGAAGGACGCGACAAGCUGCGAUAAGCUUCGGGGAGCCGCAAAUGGGCUUUGAUCCGGAGAUUUCCGAAUGGGGAAACCCGGCAGAGCAAUACUCUGUCAGCGUGCACUGAAUCAAUAGGUGUACGUGGGGAACCGCCUGAACUGAAACAUCUAAGUAGGGCGAGGAAAAGAAAUCAACCGAGAUUCCGCUAGUAGUGGCGAGCGAACGCGGAAGAGGCCAAACCAGGGGGAGCAAUCUCCUUGGGGUUAGGACGGCAACAUGCAGUAAGAACCUUUAACUGAACACUUUGGGAAGAGUGGCGAUACAGGGUGAUAGCCCCGUAAGCGAAAAGGGUUUUACGCUAGCCGGAUCCAGAGUACCACAGGACACGUGAAACCCUGUGGGAAUAUGGGGGGACCAUCCUCCAAGCCUAAAUACUACUCAGUGACCGAUAGAGAAGCAGUACCGUGAGGGAAAGGUGAAAAGGACCCCGGGAGGGGAGUGAAAAAGAACCUGAAACCUUGUGCCUACAAGCACCGAGAGCACGUUAAUGUGUGAUCGGGUACUUUUUGUAGAACGGUCCGGCGAGUUAAUGUACGUAGCGAGGUUAAGGGACUGGAGUCCCGGAGCCGUAGCGAGAGCGAGUCUGAAUAGGGCGAAUGAAGUUACGUGUAUUAGACCCGAAACCGGGUGACCUAUCCAUGAGCAGGCUGAAGCGGUGGUAAGACACCGUGGAGGGCCGAACCCACGUCUGUUGAAAAAGCCGGGGAUGACUUGUGGAUAGCGGAGAAAUUCCAAUCGAACUCGGAGAUAGCUGGUUCUCCCCGAAAUAGCUUUAGGGCUAGCGUUAUUUUAGAUUACCGGAGGUAAAGCACUGAAUGGUCUAGGGGCCGCGAGGUUACCAAAGCCUAUCAAACUCUGAAUGCCGGAUAAUUGAUGAAUAGCAGUCAGACUGUGUGAGAUAAGUCUCAUAGUCAAAAGGGAAACAGCCCAGAUCUACAGCUAAGGUCCCAAAUGAACACUAAGUGGAAAAUGAUGUGAAACUGCGAAGACAACCAGGAUGUUGGCUUAGAAGCAGCCACUCAUUCAAAGAGUGCGUAAUAGCUCACUGGUCGAGUGGUUUUGCGCAGAAAAUGUAACGGGGCUAAGUGUUCAACCGAAGCUUAGGCAUUGUACUUUGUACAUUGGGUAGGGGAGCGUCGUAUGCGGGGCGAAGUCAGAGCGGAAGCACUGGUGGACUGCAUACGAGUGAGAAUGCCGGAAUAAGUAGCGAGAAUUAUGUGAGAAUCAUAAUGGCCGAAAAUCUAAGGUUUCCUGGGGAAGGUUCGUCCGCCCAGGGUUAGUCGGGAGCUAAGCUCAGGCCGAAAGGCGUAGGCGAUGCACAUACGGUAGAAAUUCCGUAACCACCGAACUUUAAGCUAGAGGGACGCUUUCUUUAAGGUUAUCCCGGGCGAUGGUUGCCCCGGGCGUAAGGGACCGAAAUUUAGUAGGGAAGUAACUGGCGAGAGAGACGAGAAAAGCUCUAGUGUAUACUAAGGUGCCCGUACCGCAAACCGACACAGGUAGAAGGGAUGAGUAUUCUAAGGCCAACGGGAGAAGGGUUGUUAAGGAACUCGGCAAAUUGGCCCCGUAACUUCGGGAUAAGGGGCGCCUGCGAGAGCAGGCCGCAGUGAAAAGGCCCAAGCGACUGUUUAGCAAAAACACAGCUCUCUGCUAAAUCGAAAGAUGACGUAUAGGGGGUGACGCCUGCCCGGUGCUGGAAGGUUAAGGGGAGUGCUUAGCGCAAGCGAAGGUGCGAACUUAAGCCCCAGUAAACGGCGGCCGUAACUAUAACGGUCCUAAGGUAGCGAAAUUCCUUGUCAGGUAAGUUCUG
rnacentral:rRNA from 1 species